GACGGAGGGUGCAAGCGUUGUCCGGAUUUAUUGGGUUUAAAGGGUGCGUAGGCGGUUAAUUAAGUCCGUGGUGAAAUCCUGGAGCUCAACUUCAGAACUGCCAUUGAUACUGGUUGACUUGAGUACAGACGAGGUUGGCGGAAUUGAUGGUGUAGCGGUGAAAUGCAUAGAUACCAUCAAGAACACCGAUUGCGAAGGCAGCUAGCUAGGCUGUAACUGACGCUGAGGCACGAAAGUGUGGGGAUCAAACAGG
rnacentral:rRNA from 1 species